rnacentral:tRNA from 1 species
GCGGGAGUAACUCAGUGGUAGAGUGCAACCUUGCCAAGGUUGAAGU